UAAACAGACGCUUAUUAAAACCUAUAUAAAUUAGCAAGUUAUAUGUGCAUUAUUACUUGUACUCCAUGCUUGAGGAGUGUUUCAGACAAAAAAAAAAACUUUUGAUUUUUCUUCUUCAUCCUCUAUCCCCAAUUUACAGUUUACAACAAUGGAUACAACCUCACUUCUAAUCUAUUAACCAUUAUCAUGCUCAUUAUCCUCUUCUAAACCUAAAAUCACUCUCAAUUCCUCAUCCUUCACCUGUUAUGCAUUCGGAAAAUGCUUGCGGUGGAACUUUCUCCCGCCAACAACCACCGUCAUUCUGCGUCACCUCAAGCGUCACUCUUCCGCACAUCGGCGCUUGCUGUUGGUGAAAUAGUGGAGAAAUCUAGCUUAGAGGACUCGGUUUCGUGUGUUUCUAAAGACCGGAUUCCCAAAAUCUUGCACUGUAUGUUCAUUUCACCUCAAAUUCAUGCGAUUUCAUUGAAUUUUAUUUGUGUAUUGUAUUAUACACAAAGUGAGCAUGAUUGUGUUGCUUGAGACAAAUUGUUUGUUAAUUGUACUUCAAAACUUUUCAUUGAGUUUUUAGUUUUCAUCAUGUAUCAUAGUAUGUCACAACGCAAUACACAGAAACCCAUCUAGAGAGAAAGAGAAAGCGAGAGGAGUGAUGGGAAGUGGCGGUGUGAUGACGGUGGUGAAAGGUUGUGGUGGUGAAAGGGGAUUGUGGCUGUCGCGGUGGCGGUGAUGGUGACGGUUGCUACGGACAAUUUUUCUGUGGAUUUCACUCGCCGAGCAUCUUCUCUCUCUUCACCGUAUCAUCUCUGAUCUACCAUUAAAACACCUUUCACUUCAUGUCUUCAUCUCAUAUUUCAAUUCUCAAUCAUAAGUCAUAGGUUUCAGGUUAGGUUUCUGGUGACAGAGUUGACCAGCGACCUCUCACAAGGUCUGUUUUUUGGUUGUGUGAUUAGUAGAUUUUAGUGAUUGAUGAGUUUAUAUUAAAUGGAGAUUUUCGAAUAGGGCCCAAAAUUUUAUCUCGCACAUUAUAAUGUUCGUUGUGUGAUGCAGCCAAUGUUAUAAAGUUUUUCAUGAAAAGUUAAUUGUUUUCCGAAAAAAAGAAGUUUCUUUGGGCUAAUCAAAGAAUACAUUAGCAAACCUUGAACCAACACGGUUACACGGGAGGUGUUUGAUGAAAUGUUUGAAUGAGGUGCAUAUUCUGAUUCCUGCACUUUUAAGUUUUUCGUCACCACUUGGUCUAAAACUGAUGAAUUUUCCAAUGUGGUUAAUGGUUAAGUGCAUUGUUAGACAAGGAAGUUACACUAAUGAAAAGGAAGAGCUCGCACGCGCAGUUGACGUCUGGACUGAUAAUGACCAAGCAAUCAUUAGCUAUGCGUGUGAGGGUUGUGAAAACUUACAGCAACAUUACAUAUGACAAAAAAAUUUGUAGAUCUGUCAAAGUAGCUCUAAUCUUGUGAUGUUUAAACUUUAGGCUUUGUAAAUUACCAAAUUAGAAUAUUACUUAUUAAAUGUUUUGACAUUUGUUUUUGCAACAGAAUUUUACUCAAUAUAGGUGAUUUUAUCAAGCCUAAUUGUACUUUAUGGUUCAGUACUUUCCUCUUUCCUCUAUUACGUGGCCCCGAGGUCCUGAAGAAGUUCUAUAGCCAGCCAACAAUGUCAUAUUUGGAGUGCUGGUGUCAUAAGAUGUAUUUUGCUAUGUGGGUUCCCACCAUUCUCGGUAUAAUUAUUUGCUUUGUUUUUUAUAGCUUUUUCCUUAUGAUGAUACGAUCUUAAGGUUUCAUUUAAUCAUUUUUUAUUUGUGAAACGGAACAAGGAAUAUACGAGCAGGUUUUGAAAGGUGUGUCUAUUUUGUAUUUGCCUGCCUUCUUUCUACUCUAUUUCCCUUAUGUGCAAGAGCCUAUGAUGAGUUAAGUCGCGAUCGGCUCUUGGCGUGUCAGGAUCGGAGGACGGAAAGUGCGAGUUUCUCUAUUUGCAACCUCUGAUGCAGCCAUGGUGGUCUAAUAGACAGAUCUAAACCACGCUAUAUUAGUCGGAAAAUCUGAGCCAAACAAGUUGGUCCAUUAUGCUAACAUAUCAUUAUAUUACCUCCUUUUGUAAAUGCAAUUUGUAUCCAUUCAUAUUGAUACAACUAUUUGACUCGAUGUUUUCUCUUUUGGUUACUUUGGCGAGUGUCGAUGUCGUAACGAAUUGAACGAAUACCGGACAAUCUUUUAGCUUCUAUGAUAUGUGAAUGUCAACCCGGCCGCAACGCGGCGGGUGUUACAUCUAGUU